AGCAAGCACUCGCUCACUGCAGAUUCUCCUGUGCGAAGGAAACCAAAGCAGCACAUUUCCAAAAGAGGCAAAGCAGUAGAUAUACAUAGCUGUGGAGAACACUGGAGACAAGAAUGAGAAGGCAUGGGAAAUAUCACCAUCAGCACUCACGGAUUUCAUUGCCUCUUUGCUUGUCAAGACACUGCUGAUUGAAAAACUGUUUUGUUUCCUGCCCUCAAAACCAGAGCCCAGCAGCUUGGCAGUAUGUUGGCAGGGUCUGGCAAAGAGCAGCCUGAGGAAGCGUCUGAUACAGCCAAGGACAUUAAAGAUUCUCAAGAUCCUCUUGGGGGUCUUGCUGAAGAGUUCCUGUGGCACUGAUGUUCCAUCCAGUCUGGCAGGAUGCAGUAACAUCACUGGCAAGUGUGGCCAGGUGCUGCAGCUCCCAUGUAGCCCACAGGAGGACAUCAGCCAUUCUGCAUAAUGCCCAGUGCAUAGCUAUCUCUGUCUCACCUUGGCUUUGAAGAAAAACUUGGAACUUUUUAUUCCAGUGGUUGCUUUCUCUUUGCUGACAAAAAUUAAUAUACUUUUCAGUUUUUUCAGCAUUUUCCCCUUCUUUU
rnacentral:lncRNA from 1 species